CCCAGAGCACUCUGAAAGCAAAUCCAGGCCCCAGCGUCUUCUGCUGGGAAAGGCUGAAGGAGCCAGCUCCUACUGGGGCACUCGUAAUGCAGUGUGGGUCUGUGAUUUGGGGUGAGGGAGUGAGAGACGCCAUCACUGUUAUUAACUUUUGGAGUUGGGCUCCAAAUACAGUUGCCCCUAUGACUACAUUCUUACACUGUAAUUCCAUCUGAUUCACUUAUGGAAUACCACGUAUUAUAUUUGUAGCUCCAGUUCUAAAUGUGUAUGAAGAGAAAGUGAGGUUAUAUUAUCGCUGCAAUUGAGAGGAACUAGGACAAGUUUUAAUAAUUUCCUGCCACAGAAUACUGAGUAAGCCAGUACUUUAUGGGAAAGUUCAGGGAGAGGAGUAAUACAUGUUACAUUUCUGAAUUCCACAGGAUACUCGGGGAGUUUUACUGGCAAUUGAUUUUUCUACAGGUAAAUUGUAACACUUGAUGGGCAGACGGACACCAGAUAUAGUGUCUCUGUGAGAUGCACCAGCCAGGAUGUGAUGUGGGGGGAACAGGAAUGCAUCAGCACCCUCUGGCAGGUGCUAAAGAGUGGGACAUUUGAAGUCCUGCUGGCAGAAGCUGCCUUCCCCCAGCUAAGGCAGCCAGCACUACUUUACCUGAACUACUCCAGGUGCUGUUGGCUCACAGAAAUAUUUAGCAUACAAGAGUCUGAUUUAAAAAAAUAAUGAAAAAUCCAUCAUUUGGCAUUUGUUUUGAGAAAUUAUUUCUCUUUACAGACAUGACCUUAUCCUGAUCUGUGUGAACUUUUACCUACCGUGUCACUGUCCGGUGCCUCUUGUGGUUCACGUAGGGAAGACCAGAACUCAGUGAUGUGGAGGUGAUAUUUUUCUGUUACCCAUAAUGAGCAGCAGUGGGAUUGGCUGUGGCAGCAGAGAGCUCCAGUGCUGCUUGUUUCAUGGCUGGUGGAUAUAUUUAAGACGUUCCAUUAAGCAGCUAACUAUGGAGGGCAUCUUGGAGGUGUUUAACAUGGAUGAUGCGUGCCUUUAAAAUAGAGGAGAGAGUCCACUUGGAUGGGUCAUCCAAACCAGAUGCUGCACAAAGGAGAGCAGAUACCCAUCUGAAGCACUGUGCAGAUGGCAAGGAAGAAUUUUUCUCAGGGCUCUCAGCAACCCCAGAAUGACCGUUGUGCUGCAGACAAUGCUGCGGAGCACACCUUGGUGAAGCAGAGCUCUUGUGGGGUAUUUUCUCUUCUGUAAAUGAAAAACCCAGCUUUUGGACUUGGGCUAAAAAAAGUAUUCAUCCUGCUAAGUAGAUUGAAAGAGAAUCCAGAUUAAAUAAAUCAUUAAAUCAUUCCAGAAUGUUAUCCACCUGUUCUGGCCUGCAAUUUAUUUUCAGAUGAACGUUAGGUAAAAACAAACAAACAAAAAAAGCCGCAAGUAAUUCAUUGCCUUUCCCCAGCAGAUGCUUUGGGCCAGAAAAGGCACUUGGCCCAAGAGCUGCUCAUGCUGCCUUUGAGAUUGUGUUGAACCAAUUGCUGCAGUCCAUUGCUUCAUUACCUCAAUAUCCAUGUAGUUCCACAACUUCUGCUCCCCUGAGGAGGGAUCUCCAAGGGCCAGCUUCCUCCUUCCUGUGAGGAAGAUGGGAUGGCAGAAUGCUCCCUGCUGCCCUGGGCAGCUCUGCCCCUCAGGGUGAGGACAGCAGGGCACCAGCCAGGGCACGGGCUCCUUGUCACAGCCACUGUCCUGGUGCGGGGUGCAGCGGUGAGGGAAGGUUUUCUCUCCCACCCUCCUGCAAGGGGAAGCAUGAGGGUAGGAGGCACUGAGCCAGGCGGUGCCUUGUGUCCAGGGCCGUGCCAUGACCCCAAGGACGACAGGAGCGUUUGUGCUGGUACACGGAGGGACAGAAGCACAGCCAGCAGGUGCCCGAGGGCAGCGUGAGGGACUUGGGGAAAGCGGUGGGGAAUUAUGCUCUUCUCCAGCUAACUGUCACCUCCUUCCCACCCAGUCGCUGUGCUCGAGCCCUCCUUCACAUCUCCCCAGAGCACCUUUCUACAGCUUUCUCCCCCACGGCGGCCACCCCGUAACAAGCCGUCGCUUUUGCUGACCGCAGCAGCCCGCGGGCAGGAGGAGCGGGACAGCGGCCCCCAUCUGCGGGGCUGCAGCCCGGAGGAGCCGCCCGGGGAGUGCCGCU
ensembl:lncRNA